AUCCCUGGCGCCUUUGGGACUG
rnacentral:misc_RNA from 1 species